GAUGAACGCUGGCGGCGCGCCUAACACAUGCAAGUCGAACGAUUAAAGCACCUUCGGGUGUGUAUAAAGUGGCGAACGGCUGAGUAACACGUGGGCAACCUGCCCCUUUCAUUGGGAUAGCCACGGGAAACCGUGGAUAAUACCGAAUACUUCGAGACUUCCGCAUGGAAGACUCGAGAAAGCUCCGGCGGAGAGGGAUGGGCCCGCGGCCUGUUAGCUUGUUGGUGGGGUAACGGCCUACCAAGGCAGUGAUGGGUAGCUGGGUUGAGAGACCGACCAGCCAGAUUGGGACUGAGACACGGCCCAGACUCCUACGGGAGGCAGCAGUGGGGAAUCUUGCACAAUGGGCGAAAGCCUGAUGCAGCGACGCCGCGUGCGGGAUGAAGGCCUUCGGGUUGUAAACCGCUUUCAGCAGGGACGAGGCGAAAGUGACGGUACCUGCAGAAGAAGCCCCGGCUAACUACGUG
rnacentral:rRNA from 1 species